GUCAGAGAGAAGUGAGAGAAUGAGAGAGGGAGGUCAGACAGAAGUGAGAGAGGGAGGUCAGACAGAAGUGAGAGAAUGAGAGAGGGAGAUCAGAGAGAAGUGAGAGAAUAAGAGAGGGAGGUCAGAGAGAAGUGAGAGAAUGAGAGAGGGAGGUCAGACAGAAGUGAGAGAGGGAGGUCAGACAGAAGUGAGAGAGGGAGAGAGGGAGGUCAGAGAGAAGUGAGAGAAUAAGAGAGGGAUGUCAGAGAGAAGUGAGAGAAUGAGAGAGGCAGGUCAAAGAGAAGUGAGAGAAUAAGAGAGGGAGGUCAGAGAGAAGUGAGAGAAUGAGAGAGGGAGGUCAGAGAGAAGUGAGAGAAUGAGAGAGGGAGGUCAGACAGAAGAGAGAGAGGGAGGUCAGACAGAAGUGAGAGAAUGAGAGAGGGAGGUCAGACAGAAGUGAGAGAGGGAGGUCAGAGAAGAGAGAGGGAGGUCAGAGAGAAGUGGGAGAAUAAGAGACAGAGGUCAGACAGAAGUGAGAGAAUGAGAGAGGGAGGUCAGAGAGAAGUGAGAGAAUAAGAGAGGGAGGUCAGAGAGAAGUGAGAGAAUAAGAGAGGGAUGUCAG
ensembl:lncRNA